rnacentral:rRNA from 1 species
GGGCCCGCACAAGCGGUGGAGUAUGUGGUUUAAUUCGAUGCAACGCGAAGAACCUUACCAGGGUUUGACAUCCUGCGAAUCUCUUGGAAACAGGAGAGUGCCUUCGGGAACGCAGUGACAGGUGGUGCAUGGCUGUCGUCAGCUCGUGUCGUGAGAUGUUCGGUUAAGUCCGGCAACGAGCGCAACCCACAUCCCUAGUUGCCAGCAGUUCGGCUGGGCACUCUAUGGAAACUGCCCGUGAUAAGCGGGAGGAAGGUGUGGAUGACGUCAAGUCCUCAUGGCCUUACGGGUUGGGCUACACACGUGCUACAAUGGCAGUGACAAUGGGU